UCUAGUUACUUCCCUAGCAGUCCUAUCCCACAUACUGUCCACAUUCGCACUAUUCCCCAAGACCCCAUAGCCAUCAACUUUUUCCCCAUCUCUAGGGCACUUGUCAUAGUCAAGCUAACCCAUUUAAUCCUUAACCGAUUAUCCCCAACCUUCUUCCUCCUCUCCCUCUUGAUCUCCAAAUUCAUCACCAGGAGUUGAUGUUGGGUCAUAAGAUUCUUACUUGGGAUAAACUUACAG
rnacentral:misc_RNA from 1 species